rnacentral:rRNA from 1 species
GACGAACGCUGGCGGCGUGCUUAACACAUGCAAGUCGAACGGAAAGGCCCUGCUUUUGUGGGGUGCUCGAGUGGCGAACGGGUGAGUAACACGUGAGUAACCUGCCCUUGACUUUGGGAUAACUUCAGGAAACUGGGGCUAAUACCGGAUAGGAGCUCCUGCUGCAUGGUGGGGGUUGGAACGUUUCGGCGGUUGGGGAUGGACUCGCGGCUUAUCAGCUUGUUGGUGGGGUAGUGGCUUACCAAGGCUUUGACGGGUAGCCGGCCUGAGAGGGUGACCGGCCACAUUGGGACUGAGAUACGGCCCAGACGCCUACGGGGGGCAGCAGUGGGGAAUAUUGCACAAUGGGCGGAAGCCGGAUGCAGCAACGCCGCGUGCGGGAUGACGGCCUUCGGGGUGUAAACCGCUUUCGCCUGUGACGAAGCGUGAGUGACGGUAAUGGGUAAAGAAGCACCGGCUAACUACGUG